rnacentral:rRNA from 1 species
CGGGACACGUGGUAUCCUGUCUGAAUAUGGGGGGACCAUCCUCCAAGGCUAAAUACUCCUGACUGACCGAUAGUGAACCAGUACCGUGAGGGAAAGGCGAAAAGAACCCCGGCGAGGGGAGUGAAAAAGAACCUGAAACCGUGUACGUACAAGCAGUGGGAGCACGCUUAGGCGUGUGACUGCGUACCUUUUGUAUAAUGGGUCAGCGACUUAUAUUCUGUAGCAAGGUUAACCGAAUAGGGGAGCCGAAGGGAAACCGAGUCUUAACUGGGCGUUAAGUUGCAGGGUAUAGACCCGAAACCCGGUGAUCUAGCCAUGGGCAGGUUGAAGGUUGGGUAACACUAACUGGAGGACCGAACCGACUAAUGUUGAAAAAUUAGCGGAUGACUUGUGGCUGGGGGUGAAAGGCCAAUCAAACCGGGAGAUAGCUGGUUCUCCCCGAAAGCUAUUUAGGUAGCGCCUCGUGAAUUCAUCUCCGGGGGUAGAGCACUGUUUCGGCAAGGGGGUCAUCCCGACUUACCAACCCGAUGCAAACUGCGAAUACCGGAGAAUGUUAUCACGGGAGACACACGGCGGGUGCUAACGUCCGUCGUGAAGAGGGAAACAACCCAGACCGCCAGCUAAGGUCCCAAAGUCAUGGUUAAGUGGGAAACGAUGUGGGAAGGCCCAGACAGCCAGGAUGUUGGCUUAGAAGCAGCCAUCAUUUAAAGAAAGCGUAAUAGCUCACUGGUCGAGUCGGCCUGCGCGGAAGAUGUAACGGGGCUAAACCAUGCACCGAAGCUGCGGCAGCGACGCUUAUGCGUUGUUGGGUAGGGGAGCGUUCUGUAAGCCUGUGAAGGUGUGCUGUGAGGCAUGCUGGAGGUAUCAGAAGUGCGAAUGCUGACAUAAGUAACGAUAAAGCGGGUGAAAAGCCCGCUCGCCGGAAGACCAAGGGUUCCUGUCCAACGUUAAUCGGGGCAGGGUGAGUCGACCCCUAAGGCGAGGCCGAAAGGCGUAGUCGAUGGGAAACAGGUUAAUAUUCCUGUACUUGGUGUUACUGCGAAGGGGGGACGGAGAAGGCUAUGUUGGCCGGGCGACGGUUGUCCCGGUUUAAGCGUGUAGGCUGGUUUUCCAGGCAAAUCCGGAAAAUCAAGGCUGAGGCGUGAUGACGAGGCACUACGGUGCUGAAGCAACAAAUGCCCUGCUUCCAGGAAAAGCCUCUAAGCAUCAGGUAACAUCAAAUCGUACCCCAAACCGACACAGGUGGUCAGGUAGAGAAUACCAAGGCGCUUGAGAGAACUCGGGUGAAGGAACUAGGCAAAAUGGUGCCGUAACUUCGGGAGAAGGCACGCUGAUAUGUAGGUGAAGUCCCUCGCGGAUGGAGCUGAAAUCAGUCGAAGAUACCAGCUGGCUGCAACUGUUUAUUAAAAACACAGCACUGUGCAAACACGAAAGUGGACGUAUACGGUGUGACGCCUGCCCGGUGCCGGAAGGUUAAUUGAUGGGGUCAGCGCAAGCGAAGCUCUUGAUCGAAGCCCCGGUAAACGGCGGCCGUAACUAUAACGGUCCUAAGGUAGCGAAAUUCCUUGUCGGGUAAGUUCCGACCUGCACGAAUGGCGUAAUGAUGGCCAGGCUGUCUCCACCCGAGACUCAGUGAAAUUGAACUCGCUGUGAAGAUGCAGUGUACCCGCGGCAAGACGGAAAGACCCCGUGAACCUUUACUAUAGCUUGACACUGAACAUUGAGCCUUGAUGUGUAGGAUAGGUGGGAGGCUUAGAAGUGUGGACGCCAGUCUGCAUGGAGCCGACCUUGAAAUACCACCCUUUAAUGUUUGAUGUUCUAACGUUGACCCGUAAUCCGGGUUGCGGACAGUGUCUGGUGGGUAGUUUGACUGGGGCGGUCUCCUCCUAAAGAGUAACGGAGGAGCACGAAGGUUGGCUAAUCCUGGUCGGACAUCAGGAGGUUAGUGCAAUGGCAUAAGCCAGCUUGACUGCGAGCGUGACGGCGCGAGCAGGUGCGAAAGCAGGUCAUAGUGAUCCGGUGGUUCUGAAUGGAAGGGCCAUCGCUCAACGGAUAAAAGGUACUCCGGGGAUAACAGGCUGAUACCGCCCAAGAGUUCAUAUCGACGGCGGUGUUUGGCACCUCGAUGUCGGCUCAUCACAUCCUGGGGCUGAAGUAGGUCCCAAGGGUAUGGCUGUUCGCCAUUUAAAGUGGUACGCGAGCUGGGUUUAGAACGUCGUGAGACAGUUCGGUCCCUAUCUGCCGUGGGCGCUGGAGAACUGAGGGGGGCUGCUCCUAGUACGAGAGGACCGGAGUGGACGCAUCACUGGUGUUCGGGUUGUCAUGCCAAUGGCACUGCCCGGUAGCUAAAUGCGGAAGAGAUAAGUGCUGAAAGCAUCUAAGCACGAAACUUGCCCCGAGAUGAGUUCUCCCUGACUCCUUGAGAGUCCUGAAGGAACGUUGAAGACGACGACGUUGAUAGGCCGGGUGUGUAAGCGCAGCGAUGCGUUGAGCUAACCGGUACUAAUGAACCGUGAGGCUUAACCUU